AAGAAUAACGGAAGCUGAAAAUAUUACAAAGCGGGAGAGAGCUAAAUGUGGAAAUGUGAUGUCUACUUUUGGCGAAAUUCUUGAGUGAGGCUGCCCUAUGUGGUAACUCUCACGCCACAUUGUGAGAGUGUUGCAGUAUAUGUAAGGAUACGAGAAACUACUCAUAAACAAAAGAGAAGAUAUAAAAUUUGUUUAUAUAGUGGCCCCGGUAAAAUCUCUUCUAUAUCACUAAGAACUUACAAAUAAAAAGUACCUUUAAAACGUUUACAAAUUAUUUGUGUGUUGUAAUUUACGGAUCUCACGUUGU
rnacentral:lncRNA from 1 species